UACAGAGGUCUCAAGCGUUGUUCGGAUUCAUUGGGCGUAAAGGGUGCGUAGGUGGCGCCGUAAGUCGGGUGUGAAAUUUCGGAGCUUAACUCCGAAACUGCAUUCGAUACUGCGGUGCUUGAGGACUGGAGAGGAGACUGGAAUUCAUGGUGUAGCAGUGAAAUGCGUAGAGAUCAUGAGGAAGACCAGUGGCGAAGCGGGUCGUCUGGACAGUUCCUGACACUGAGGCACGAAGGCCAGGGGAGCAAACGGG
rnacentral:rRNA from 1 species